GCCUCUGUUGCUUAGUGGUAGAGCGACAGCCUUGUAAGCUGUAGGUCGCGGGUUCAAUCCCCGCCAGAGGCUCCA
rnacentral:tRNA from 1 species